UGAUUAUGGCUCAGGACGAACGCUGGCGGUGUGCUUCACACAUGCAAGUCGAACGAGGUAGCAAUACCUAGUGGCGGACGGGUGAGUAACGCGUGGGAAUCUGCCUUUAGAUGGGGGAUAACGAGCCGAAAGGUUCGCUAAUACCGCAUAGGUCGCAAGAUUAAAGGAGUAAUCCGUCUAGAGAUGAGCCCGCGUCCGAUUAGCUAGUUGGUAGGGUAAAGGCCUACCAAGGCGACGAUCGGUAGCUGGUCUGAGAGGAUGAUCAGCCACAAUGGGACUGAGACACGGCCCAUACUCCUACGGGAGGCAGCAGUGGGGAAUUUUACGCAAUGGGCGAAAGCCUGACGUAGCGACACCGCGUGAGCGAAGAAGCCCUUUGGGGUGUAAAGCUCUGUCGGCUGGAACGAAAAAAAUGACGGUACCAGCAAAGGAAGCAUCGGCUAACUACGUGCCAGCAGCCGCGGUAAGACGUAGGAUGCGAGCGUUGUCCGGAUUUAUUGGGCGUAAAGAGUUCGUAGGUGGCUUGUCAAGUUUGAUGUUAAAGAUCGGGGCUCAACCCUGGGACUGCAUUGAAUACUGGCAGGCUUGAGUGUGGUAGAGGCUAGUGGAAUUCCCAGUGUAGCGGUGAAAUGCGUAGAUAUUGGGAAGAACACCGGUGGCGUAGGCGACUAGCUGGGCCAUAACUGACACUGAGGAACGAAAGCCAGGGUAGCGAAUGGGAUUAGAUACCCCAGUAGUCCUGGCCGUAAACGAUGGAUACUAGGCGUAUCGGGUAUCGACCCCUGAUGUGCCGCAGCUAACGCGAUAAGUAUCCCGCCUGAGUAGUACGGCCGCAAGGUUGAAACUCAAAUGAAUUGACGG
rnacentral:rRNA from 1 species